AUUGAAGUGAUGAUCCUUUCCCCAUAUUAUCGACAAUGGUUAUAAUAUGUUUAAUAUUUGUCUUUUAGAGAUAUAUCAAUCCAAGAGUCUGAUCUGU